rfam:Setaria italica strain Yugu1 chromosome VI, whole genome shotgun sequence.
AGCAAAAUGAGGAAGCUAUACCAUCUGAAACUAACUGUGCUGUUGUCUGUUGAUGAUUCUUGGAUGGUCUUCAAAGUUCUCUGAUUGCU